CAUUUUCUUGCUUCGUUUUGUUGUCAUUUCAGAUUAGCAAAUGUUUGGAGAAGCUCUGGAGGAGAUCGGAGAGAGGUGAAAAUCAGGACUUGAAUCGGACCAAGCGUAAACGACGAUGAAAUCCAACGCGUGGGUUCUAUUGCUAAUGGUGAUCUACUUCGGUGUUGUUAAUUGCAUUGAUGACAAAUGCGCCGCUUGCAAUGCCGUUGCCGAAGAGAUAGAACGUGGACUUUCCAAUGAAAAACCGAGGAAUCAUUUAGAUAUGAGACAUCGGUUGGAUUCUAAAGGUCAGCGUAAGGGGAAGGUGAUUGACUACAGGGUCAGUGAGCUAAGAGUUGUUGAACUCCUGGACGGGCUUUGUGAAAAGAUGCAAGAUUACACCAUCGAGAAGUCAGAUUCAACUGGAAAACAGUGGAUCAAAGUGGAUGACUGGGACAACUUGACAAAUAAACAAGAAGCUCGGGCUUAUUCAAAAGAUAUAUCAACUUAUUGUGGGAGAUUAUUAGAGGAAACAGAAGAUGAUUUGGCAGAGUUGAUUAAGAAAGGAUCUGUCAGACCAGGUGAUGUUAGCAAAGUACUAUGCCAUGAUUUGAGCAGGCAUUGCAGCAAGGCGAGCAGUGUUCAGCUGAAUGACGAUGAUGAUGAAGCAGAUGGGGAGCUAUGAAAAGAUAGGUUUGAGAGAGGAGCUAUAAACCAUGCAACAGUUCAGCUUGUUUUCAAAUCAGGAGAUAUGUGCUACACGCUUAUUUUCUUGUAUAACUGUUUAACUUUGAUUGCACUUUCAAUUUUAAAUUUUGAUAGAAAACUCAGACGAUGGGGUGAUGCUGACUUAAAAGCUUCAGAUUGAUGUUUUGUGUAGUAAAGCUUAGGGACUUGAGGAAAUAAUGCUUAUAAAGGGUGAUAUAAUGACCAACCUAAUGCGUCCGAAGAAAUCGGCGUCGUUGUCUUGUCUGGUGUGGUAAUGCACACACAUCGCCCACAUUUGAUAUGGCAUAUGCCUGGUCUGUGCUCAAGUCGGUUGUUGCGCGCGCGAUGUUCCUAAAAGAGAAUUUCUAUUUUUGCAACACUAAAGUGGAGAUGAAAA